rnacentral:rRNA from 1 species
AUACGGAGGGUGCAAACGUUAAUCGGAAUUACUGGGCGUAAAGCGCACGUAGGUGGUUUGUUAAGUGGGAUGUGAAAGCCCCGGGCUCAACCUGGGAACUGCAUUCCAAACUGAUGAACUAGAGUACGGUAGAGGGGGGUAGAAUUCAGAGUGUAGCGGUGAAAUGCGUAGAUAUUCUGAGGAAUACCGGUGGCGAAGGCGGCCCCCUGGACUGAUACUGACACUGAGGUGCGAAAGCGUGGGGAGCAAACAGGAUUAGAAACCCCAGUAGUCC